CACAUCUGGAGCUCCCUUCAGCUCGGAAUGCCACACAUCCGAAACUCCAGGCAAGAAAUAUCUCACUGUGUAGCUCCGGCUAUCCUGGAACCCACUAUACAGACAAACCUGGUCUUGAACUCACAGAGAUCUGCCUCCCAGGUGCUGGGAUUAAAGGCAAUCUUCCACUACAGGCUAGAAGCCUGCAGCUUUCAGAGGGCAGCUGGCUGCAGUGGAAGGACCUCGUCUGAGCAGGAAUUCACAUAGGAGAUGGAGACAGAACCAUCCUUCUGGCGCUGUGUGCACAUCUGGACCAAGCCAUGCCUGUGACUUUUGAUUCCUUGUGAUGUGACACUUACCGAUAUCCUUUCCUGCUUUCACCAGUUAUGUCUUCACCAUUUGCUCUCAGAUGUCUGAGUGCAUCACACCCACCUGCAGAGGAAACAGCCUGCCUGAUGAGGAGUCACAGUGAACGUUCACGGCACAAGUUCUAAGUGUGGAAAUUAUGGUGGAUAUUAAUUUAUUUUUAGUGUGUGUGUGCUGGCAGCUCUGCAUGUGCCCCCCCAUGUGCAGUGCUCCCCCCAUGUGCAGUGCUCCCCCAUGUGCAGUGCUCCCCCCAUGUGCAGUGCUCCCCCCAUGUGCAGUGCUCCCCCAUGUGCAGUGCUCCCCCCAUGUGCAGUGCUCCCAGAGGCCAGAAGAAGAGCACACUGGGUUCACUGGAGCUGGAGUUACAGGAGGUUUCAAGUUGCCCAAUGUCUGUGUCAAGAACGAAACGUUAUUGACUUUUUGCUCUGGAUGAUUGGAUCUGGCUUUUGACUUUCCCUGUCCCCACUACACAGAACACAUCCUGUCUCUGCUUCAUCUUUCCUUAAUUAUGUUGUGGUUUUGUUUAGAUCAGUAUUCACUGCUUAUGCUUUAGAGCAGUGUUCUCAACCGUUAGGUUGUGGCCCCUUUCCCUGGAACCACAGGUCAGAUAUCCUGCAUGUCUGCUGUAGGACCCAUGGGUCUACCCCUGCUCCUGGGGUUCAUCUUGAGGACAGUUUCUGGCCAGCCAGCUAAAGCAUCCUGUUUGUUCCUGUGCUCCCUCUGCCUCUCCUGGAGGUUAGCUAUAGGGCCUUGUUUACUCCACCUUGGGCAUGGUAAUUUCCCACCUGCCUGGGGGGUAUUCCAUUAUGCAGCAGCUGGGUAUAUAAAGUUUUUCCUAAAUUUGA